UGAUUAUUACAGGCAGUGACACAAUGUACACCCACACGGCCUAAAAUUGGAAUUAGGGUAAAAAUUUAGAUUGCAAUGCCAGUAUUUUCGACUGGCAACAAGUGAUUGGAAUUGGGGGAAAAUGCGAAAUAAAUGGAGACAAAACGAUGGCGGGACAUGCCACAUGCAGCACGCCAACGCCAACCUCAUCGCCAUCGCCAUCGCCGGCAGCACCACAUACAAUGAAGGCCGGACGGACUGCAACCACCCACUUGGCACCCAUGACCAACCACCAACCCCACCCACACCCACCCACUGAACGUUUAGUUGGUGUCGCCCACAUGUGCCAUGUCAAUCGGCCCGAGAGAAUGGCGCUUUAAUUGUUGGUCGGUCUGGGUGUGGGCCACAUUGAGAUUACCAUUUCCAACCAUGUUGCUCGCUCGGUCGACAGGUGCUGAAAUAUGAAAUAUUCAAAACCUUUGCGCACGUGUCAAUUAGUGACAGUUUGAUUGAUUUUCCACCUCCAAGUUGAAGGUUCUGUCAUUGAGAGUCGAAUAUUGAAAAGUGGCUGACGCCAUGGAUUGGUCGGGCUUUAGUUCCCCUGCACCGAGCACCGUCCCACCAGAACUCACCUGGAAGGUCCAGAAAACCGCGUAGCGAAUGAUGUUACGGCGGGUAUCCUCGAACUGCUUGUCGCGACCCAACUUUAUAAUGCGAUAUAGCAAAUAUCCGGACAGCCGUGCGCCCCACAGGCAAACGAAGAAGGUGACCAUCAGCUGGCGACUGUCAUAGGCCUGAAAAUUAGGUUAAGACAUUUUAAAAAUUAUAUUCAGCUAACUAAAUAUAAAAAUUUAAGCUUCGAGUACUAAAGCAAGAUAUCUUAAAAAUUAAAGUAUAAAAUGAUCUCAAUUUAA